rnacentral:rRNA from 1 species
UACGUAGGGGGCAAGCGUUGUCCGGAAUCAUUGGGCGUAAAGCGCGCGUAGGCGGCCCGGUAAGUCCGCUGUAAAAGUCCAGGGCUCAACCCUGGAACGCCGGUGGAUACUGCCGGGCUAGAGUCCGGAAGAGGCGAGUGGAAUUCCUGGUGUAGCGGUGGAAUGCGCAGAUAUCAGGAGGAACACCGAUGGCGAAGGCAGCUCGCUGGGACGGUACUGACGCUGAGGCGCGAAAGCGUGGGGAGCGAACAGG